rnacentral:rRNA from 1 species
GACGAACGCUGGCGGCGUGCUUAACACAUGCAAGUCGAACGGUGAAGCUCCAGCUUGCUGGAGUGGAUCAGUGGCGAACGGGUGAGUAACACGUGAGCAACCUGCCCCUGACUCUGGAAUAAGCGCUGGAAACGGCGUCUAAUACUGGAUACGAGAAGGGUCCGCAUGGGCACUUUCUGGAAAGUUUUUCGGUUGGGGAUGGGCUCGCGGCCUAUCAGCUUGUUGGUGAGGUAAUGGCUCACCAAGGCGACGACGGGUAGCCGGCCUGGGAGGGCGACCGGCCACACUGGGACUGAGACACGGCCCAGACUCCUACGGGAGGCAGCAGUGGGGAAUAUUGCACAAUGGGCGCAAGCCUGAUGCAGCGACGCCGCGUGAGGGAUGACGGCCUUCGGGUUGUAAACCUCUUUCAGCAGGGAAGAAGCGAAAGUGACGGUACCUGCAGAAGAAGCACCGGCUAACUACGUG